AGUUCCCAGUUGUCUUGAAAGCACCAUAAAUCCAGAGAAUGCCAGACUUUGAUGACAAAAUUUGAUGACAAAAUUUGCCCAUGAAGGACAGCCGUGCUACCUUGCUGUUCAAGUGAGCACAGCACAACAAGCUGGCUGUACCCAGGACCCAGGCAGGCAACAGGAGCCAAAGCACCAAGCCCAGAGUAACCUAGUAAAUCCUCAGAUCCGGCAGGGAGAGCACAGUCACACACCGAGCGUUUCAGUGAUCACAACACAGACUGGGGUGAGGGGGCAUUGGUGGGAGUGUAUGGGUGUAUGGAGAGGACUGGUAUUAUUGGAAGCAUUACUUGGAUAUUUGUAGGGUUGCGGUGAAUGUCUGGAGAUGGCACAACAUUCUUUGUUUGUGGUAUGUAGGGUGUUGCUGUGACAACCUUACACCGUCAGCCAAUUGUGGUUGUUCUUCACCAUGACUCCAGACCCUGAGUGAGCUACGGUUGCUGCCUCUUUUCUUCUCUUGUCCCCGACCCCUGUGUGUGUGCCUCUGUGUGAAUACCAUCGUGUCCGUCUGUGUGUAAUUAUGUGUCCUCACAACAGCCAUAAGUUACUCUGGUAAAGCACCUCGGGGACACAGAGACAGAGAGGGGAAUGUCAACUCAAAGACACAGACACUCUCUCUCUCUCUCUCUAAUAAUGAGUCAGUUAAGAACAGACUCAGCACUUCUUCUCUGCCAGUGCCGAGCUGUACCAGGACUAGAAUGGAUGGUCUCUAAUGACAGAGACAGUCAUUAAUGCUUGCAAAAUAUUUCCAAUAAAACCAUUCACAAUUUUACGUUU